AUCUUAUCCAGAGUGGCUGAGGGUUCAGGCCCUGAGACGCCACAGCAACCGGUCGGCUCGGUGGAUCGCCAGAUCCGCGGGGUCGAUGCUGGUGCUACCUCCUGCCCGAUACCCGCAACCCGUAAGGGUUGCAGUCGGGGCAGAUAAGAU
rnacentral:ncRNA from 1 species